GACGAACGCUGGCGGCGUGCUUAACACAUGCAAGUCGAACGGAAAGGCCCUGCUUUUGUGGGGUGCUCGAGUGGCGAACGGGUGGGUAACACGUGAGUAACCUGCCCUUGACUUUGGGAUAACUUCAGGAAACUGGGGCUAAUACCGGAUAGGAGCUCCUGCUGCAUGGUGGGGGUUGGAAAGUUUCGGCGGUUGGGGAUGGACUCGCGGCUUAUCAGCUUGUUGGUGGGGUAGUGGCUUACCAAGGCUUUGACGGGUAGCCGGCCUGAGAGGGUGACCGGCCACAUUGGGACUGAGAUACGGCCCAGACUCCUACGGGAGGCAGCAGUGGGGAAUAUUGCACAAUGGGCGGAAGCCUGAUGCAGCAACGCCGCGUGCGGGGUGACGGCCUUCGGGUUGUAAACCGCUUUCGCCUGUGACGAAGCGUGAGUGACGGUAAUGGGUAAAGAAGCACCGGCUAACUACGUG
rnacentral:rRNA from 1 species